rnacentral:misc_RNA from 1 species
AUGAACUAUUUACUAAACGACUACCAGAAAGAGAACGAGGCAUUCCUCCUAUAUCAUCAGAUGAGGCAAAACCGUGAGGCAGGUCCCUUGGGGGCAUUGAGAACCCAGGUGGAGCCGAAACUUUUGGUCUGGUGAUUUGAUAGGGAGCCUUGUUCACAUACUGAUCCUUGUUUUCUCCGAAAUCCUGAAGGAUGGACGAAUUCUUUGAUAUCUGACCAAUAUUUCUAAAAGACGACUCCAAAUCACCUCCUUGCCUGGAAAAGUCAUCUUGCUUCACAAAAGAGAACCCUAAUUGGUCGCUGUG